UUUCCUUACCCUUUUCCCCUUUUCCCUUUUCCCAGGGCGUGGGCCCGUGGAUCCCCCGUCCCAUUCGUCACGGAACCAGGCCAAACGCCCGUAAACCGUUGACACACUGUUCCAUCACCAACCCAGGGAUCAAGGCUCUUGGAAGAUUCACGUGUUCCUCGGAACCUAGAAUCACUAAGACUAAAUUUUCUCCAGUUGGAAGGAAAAGGAUUGAACAGUCCCAGGUCUCUCAGCCUUUCCUGGCACAGAAGAUGCUCCAGGACCU